rnacentral:rRNA from 1 species
UACGGAGGGUGCAAGCGUUAUCCGGAUUCACUGGGUUUAAAGGGUGCGUAGGUGGGUUGGUAAGUCAGUGGUGAAAUCCCCGAGCUUAACUUGGGAACUGCCAUCGAUACUAUCAGUCUUGAAUACCGUGGAGGUCAGCGGAAUAUGUCAUGUAGCGGUGAAAUGCUUAGAUAUGACAUAGAACACCAAUUGCGAAGGCAGCUGGCUACUCGGAUAUUGACACUGAGGCACGAAAGCGUGGGGAUCAAACAGG